rnacentral:rRNA from 1 species
CCUACGGGAGGCAGCAGUAGGGAAUCUUCCACAAUGGACGAAAGUCUGAUGGAGCAACGCCGCGUGAGCGAUGAAGGCCUUCGGGUCGUAAAGCUCUGUUGUUAGGGAAGAACAAGUACCGGAGUAACUGCCGGUACCUUGACGGUACCUAACCAGAAAGCCACGGCUAACUACGUGCCAGCAGCCGCGGUAAUACGUAGGUGGCAAGCGUUGUCCGGAAUUAUUGGGCGUAAAGGGCAUGUAGGCGUUUCGCUAAGCCCUAUCUGAAAUCCUUCGGCUUAACCGGAGGGCUGGAUAGGGGACUAUCGGAAUUGAGGCGAGAAGAGGAGAGUGGAAUUCCCGGUGUAGCGGUGAAAUGUGUAGAUAUCGGGAGGAACACCAGUGGCGAAGGCGGCUCUCUGGUCUGUAACUGACGCUGAGGCGCGAAAGCGUGGGGAGCAAACAGGAUUAGAUACCCUGGUAGUCCACGCCGUAAACGAUGAGUGCUAAGUGUUAGAGGGUUUCCGCCCUUUAGUGCUGCAGCUAACGCAUUAAGCACUCCGCCUGGGGAGUACGGCCGCAAGGCUGAAACUCAAAGGAAUUGACGG